rnacentral:lncRNA from 1 species
GAGAAUAAAUGGGAAGUAGGAAAUAAAAUCCAAGUCAACAAUAGAUUACAAAUGAUUACAAUCCAAUUACGGUAAGGAGGUGUAUGAAACAAACGGUGCUUAAUACAACACUGAAUGAAAUCCUCCAUUUGAUUAUACCAGAAUGCCCUUCGAUUUGAUUCCAAAAAUAUGAAGGGAAAAUCUUCAAAUGCACAAAGUAAAUCGGAACCCACAGUGAAGUAGCUCUUCAGUAUCUUCUAAGCCCAAGCUGUCAAACACAGACCAAAAGCAAACGUGUCAUAACCAAAAUAACCCAAUGAAUGGUAGAUGUUAAAAUGAGCAUUCCAUUUUCUGAAUGAAAAAAAUCCCAGUGACCUAGCUAUGACUUACAUAAUUAAUUAAAAUGGAUUUGUUAAAAUAUAGUAAAAUAUUAUACCGUUAAGAAUUAACACUGGUAGAAGAAUUUGUUGGGCGGAAUCCAGCGAUCGGUGAUGAACUGAUUAUUACUUAACGGAGGGGCAAGCACACUGACAACAAUAUUUUACGUGGUUCGGCAAAAUCACCUACAUCCACGGGAGAGAGUCCAUUUAUUAGAGAUUAGAAAAAGGAUAUAAUAAAUAUAUAGAGGAGGAUCUAAUCACUCAACUCCCAUCUCUCUUGCUGUCCUUGCAGCUGCUGCAAUGGCUGCUGCCAUUGCAGCUCUCUUUUUCUCUCUAUCCUCUUACGUUUCUCACACAC